GCGUGCUCCCCUUGAUUUCUUGUUCCGCAAGCCGCAAGACAGAAAGCACUGCCUUCUUCGGUUCUCUUCUCGUCGACCAUUUUUUUCUUCUCACCGCUAUCUCCUCCCGAUCGGCAGCUGGAGAAUAGCGACCACCGGAGCACACGAUGGAGUCAGUGACGCCUCGGCCGGUCUGCGCCAAGGAAGCAAUCGACCUGCUCAACUGCUCCGUUGAAAACCCCUUCGACCGUGACAAGUGCCUCCGCCUGUUGGACGCCCUACGGAGCUGUGUUCUCGAGAAGAAAGUCAGGAAGUUCUUUGUGGCGGAGCAGACCAGUGCUGCUGAAGAGCCAAAGAACAAGGAAAAUCCCUGAUUUCUUCCAAAUGGCCAGAAAUGCAAACCGCUGUUGUUAUUUUUCAUCAUUAUAGAUACUGAAGUCCCACAGGGAGAGAUGGAUUUUGGUCGCGGUAAUAAUUUUCCAACAUAAUUUUAACUUUGGGCAUUGAACUUUUGAGCAUGAUGCAUAAACCUCUGGCUUUCCUGCUGCUUUUACCCUA